GCUACAAGCCGGGUUAUCGGUUCAUCCUUUAGACGGAUGGGCAGGAAAGUCCGGACAGCACAGAGCAAUGCACCGGUGAAGAGCCGGGUCUUGCCUUAGACAAGCAAGAACAGAUAGUGCCACAGAAAAUAACUGCCUCUCUCUCUCCGGCAGGAGAGGGAGAGGUGAGGUUGAAAACGUAGGGUAAGAGCCUACGGCCUAUGAUGGUAACAUCAUUCGCGGGUAAACCUUGCAUGCUGAAAUGCCACGUAUAGUACUGUUUGAGAACGGCUCGUUCGAGGUACAGGGUAGGCAGAUUGAUCCCAACAGUAAUGUUGAGGACAGAUAAAUGAUAACCCAUGACAGGAUCCGGCUUACAGGCUUGUAGUUUUU
rnacentral:RNase_P_RNA from 1 species